CAAAUUGAAGAAUACAGACAUAAACUUAAGUUGACUGCCCCUGCAAACAAUAUAAUCAUAAAAGAGCCAUCUUUCUUGUCAUCCGCACUUCUCGGUGGCCGCCCUAUUAAUUUCAGGAAUAGAUAUUCAGACAAUUUUCUGAGCAGCCCAUUCUUCAAGAAAGCACAGCCAUUAUAUUUAAAGCAAAUCAGGGCUUACACAUGCUAACGAUAGAAAGAACGAACAAACUUCUUUGUUUCUGGAUGAUGAUCGAGCAAGUCGUUCCAGUCAGUGUUCGUCGCAUGUCUUACUGAGUAGACCAUACUCAUAAAGCCAGGAAACAGUUUAUUUAUUUCCUGAACCAUUCGUGAGGAGUCCGAAAUC
rnacentral:lncRNA from 1 species